rnacentral:lncRNA from 1 species
UCCCUGGGAAAUUUUAAUUCAGCCUCUGACAUCAUUUCCACCCAAGUUAUUCAUUUCCAGGAUGACGUUGUUUGGCUGCUUCCAUUCUAAAAUGUUGCCUUUUUCUUAUUAUUCUGAUACCUUCCAGAGUGAGACGUCAUUCUGUAACAGCCUUCUUGAUAUCAUGUGCCUUGAAUGUCAUGAGAACAUCCGCACGUGACUUCUACAUAAUCUCACGGUGGUUGUACGGCUCUGUUUAACCUGAUGUCGUUCUUGCUUUCCGAUCGUUUUCAGAAUGCUGGACAUGAAAAUGAGUUGAACAUUAUGAAAUCUCCUGUCCCUCUGGGUUGGCAAUCAGUGGUCAUCUACCAUCAUCUCAGAGGAAAACCAGAAGAGCUCCACUCUAACUUCUGUAAGGGUUAGUCCAUUAUGGAAGAUCAAACAAUUUUCUGGCGCUGGUUUUGUGAAAUUCGGCUGCUGCCUUGGACCCUCCAUUUGAAAAAGAAAUUAACGUUGAGGAACAAAUAAAG